UUAUUGAACUACUUUUCCCUAUCUGUAACAUCAAUGCACAUUGUUCCAUUUACUGCAUAUUGCACUUUAUUCAUUUCUCUCAUUCCACCUGCAAAAACAUUGUAAAGGUCGUCACAAAGAGGUUUAUAUAUGUAUAAAUACUAAUAUUCUCUAUUCCAUUCUGUUCUGCUUUUUUAUUGCCCAGAUUUUAGUUAGCCUUUGUUAAAUUGUCUGUUAUAUGUCAAUAGAUACGUAUGUCACAAAUAAAAGUGUUUUGUAAAUUAUGUUUUUGUUAAGAAUUUUCUCCACAAAUCUCUUACAUGCUAACUGUAACGUGUUAUUUCUGCUAAAACCUGAACUUAAAUGUGUAUAUGGUGUUUAUCUGUUUUUCUCUCUGUUUUAGAUGCUCAUAUCAAUUUGGAGUUUUGCCUCCAAGCCAGAAUUGCAGGAAUGCACAACAUGUUGCAGAAGACUCUUUCACUGCCCUCUGUGCCCCACUUUCAGCCCUACUGUCAAGGCAAAGAUUGAGGAGUAUAUAAAUGGACACAUUAAAAAUGCUUUGCCUUUCAAAGACAAAAUGAUAUACCGGUGCACUUUCACUGCCCUGUCUGUAACAUGACAGUAAUACAGCGUGGGGAUAUGGCAAGGCAAUUUUUCUCAUGUCAGCAUUCAGGACUGCUCCCCGCUGCACUCUCCGUGGAGCCACAUCUCCCUCUCGAUGUCUUGUCUCCAGUAUCUAAACCAUUUUCUGAAUCUUCAGUAGAACAUUCAUGUGCUCUACCCUCUGUGCUAAAUGAAACUGUGGCUUGUGGAAAGUCCUUGAAAAUGAAACGCCCUCACUGUGGUCUUAGUCUUCCUAAAAAAAACUUCAAGGCUCACAUGAUGAGGAGGCAU